GUGCUGAGUUUCCUCACAUAUCAACAGAGUACUGAUAUCACCAUUUCUUUUCAGAAAGCCAUCUCCUUAAAAAAUAUGAAAACCAUUGGCAUUUAGUCCUGAUAUAAAGAAGAACUUAUAUUUGUGUAGCUUUGGUAAAUACCACUGAAUCUGAAUGCCAGUCCCCACCUGUCACUCUCAAGACACAGUUUAGGAAAAAUGAAGGAUCCAUGCUGAGAAUACUAAAAAGAAAGGACAUGUAACAGUUACGCUCCUUUGAGAGAUUAUCUGUGCCAUCUUUUUGUGUUAACUAUGCCCUCCAGAUGAGGUGUCCAGCACAUAAGAGAACACUCAGUACUUCUGCACAUCAGAAUCCUGCUACUCGUGCACAGAGCAAGCAGUGACAUCACUCAAAACAAGCCAAAACUGCAAGGUCGUAAUUCACAGAGGUGUGGGCCAGGGAGAACUGAAGAAGAGAAUCAGUUCAGGGAAGAAAGCAAGAAAACAAAAAGAAGAGACCUCAUCACAGUCAACUGCUUCCUCAAGAGGGGAAGCAAAGAGGCAGACGCUGAUCUCUGUGGUGACCGGUGACAGGACCCAAGGGACUGGCCUGAGCUUGUUUCAGGGGAAGUUUAGGUUGGGUAUUAGAAAAAGUUUCUUCACCCAGAGGGUGUUUGGUCACUGGAACAGACUCCCCAUGGAAGUGGUCGCAGCACCAGCGUGACAGAAUUCAAGAGGCGUUUGGCCAAAGCUCUCAGGUACAUGGUGUGAUUCUUGGGGAUGGUCCUGUGCAGAGCCAGGAGUUGGACCUGAUGAUCUUUGUGGUCUCUUCCAACUCAGAAUAUUCUGAGAUACAAUGGUUGUAAUUGUUGGCAGAGACAGAGAAAACAGAAGGAAAUCUAUUAUACACUUACCUUGGCUACUCAUCUAGUCCCUACUGUAAUCACAUCAGAAAUGCACUACUGGACUGGGACACGUAGGAGAAGCACCCUCCUCUGCAGACCUCUGGGGUCAGAGAGAGCAGAGUGGGAGACAGAGGCACAACUGGCUGGAGAUGGUGAGCCUGAGGAUAUGGACUGCUGUUGAAGCAAGGGAGCACACUUCAAGUUGUUGGAAACCUUUUUGAUGUGUGCCCAAGAGCGUUCCCUUGGCAGCACCGUUUGUGGCUAUGCAAGGAGCUGAGCUAAGCCUGUGAUAUCAGCUCCUGGCCAACCACAGGCUCCUUCAGAGACGUAAGAUUCAUCUUUUUGCAAGGAGGAUAGCCCAUCCCCUGCAGAAGCACGGUCUCAAGGGACAUGACACACUGCUUUUAUCUCCAGCUACCCAGUCUCUGGACCUUGAAAGUUUUCACUGCAGUGAUUCCAGUGAAGCAAGUCUUAGGUGAGGUUAUCCACAUCACAGAUGAUUCAGACACACAAAAUGCAGAACAACCCUCUCCAAAACAUCCAAGGCCUGAGGCUUGAGGAUGAGAAAUUCGCUUCAUGUGGUAAUAUUGUAAAACACAGGAAAAAUAAUAUUGCUAUAAUAAGCUACUGGAAAUGGUCCUAAUAUCUUAUAGGUAGAUGAAGAUAUUUGCCAGCUUUGUCACUGCCUGGGGAUGACACAGAAUCACUGCUGGAAUUUGCUCAGUAUGCAUUCAUGGUUUCUUGCCCUUUCACAGUCCAUGCUCAGAUGGGCCAAACAGCGCUGUCAGGGACUUCUGCAAACAUGUGUCUUCCAGGAAU
ensembl:lncRNA